AACGAACGCUGGCGGCAUGCCUAACACAUGCAAGUCGAACGAGACCUUCGGGUCUAGUGGCGCACGGGUGCGUAACGCGUGGGAACCUGCCCUUAGGUUCGGAAUAACGCGCCGAAAGGCGUGCUAAUACCGGAUAAUGUCUUCGGACCAAAGAUUUAUCGCCUUUGGAUGGGCCCGAGUUGUAUUAGCUAGUUGGUAGGGUAAAAGCCUACCAAGGCGACGAGCCAUAGCUGGUCUGAGAGGAUGAUCAGCCACACUGGGACUGAGACACGGCCCAGACUCCUACGGGAGGCAGCAGUGGGGAAUAUUGGACAAUGGGCGAAAGCCUGAUCCAGCAAUGCCGGGUGAGUGAUGAAGGCCUUAGGGUUGUAAAGCUAUUUUACCCGGGAUGAUAAUGACAGUACCGGGAGAAUAAGCUCCGGCUAACUCCGUG
rnacentral:rRNA from 1 species